rnacentral:rRNA from 1 species
GUGAAAAGCACCCCGGAAGGGGAGUGAAAUAGAACCUGAAACCGUGUGCUUACAAGUAGUCAGAGCCCGUUAAUGGGUGAUGGCGUGCCUUUUGUAGAAUGAACCGGCGAGUUACGAUUUGAUGCAAGGUUAAGCAGUAAAUGUGGAGCCGUAGCGAAAGCGAGUCUGAAUAGGGCGUUUAGUAUUUGGUCGUAGACCCGAAACCAGGUGAUCUACCCUUGGUCAGGUUGAAGUUCAGGUAACACUGAAUGGAGGACCGAACCGACUUACGUUGAAAAGUGAGCGGAUGAACUGAGGGUAGCGGAGAAAUUCCAAUCGAACCUGGAGAUAGCUGGUUCUCUCCGAAAUAGCUUUAGGGCUAGCCUCAAGUGAUGAUUAUUGGAGGUAGAGCACUGUUUGGACGAGGGGCCCCUCUCGGGUUACCGAAUUCAGACAAACUCCGAAUGCCAAUUAAUUUAACUUGGGAGUCAGAACAUGGGUGAUAAGGUCCGUGUUCGAAAGGGAAACAGCCCAGACCACCAGCUAAGGUCCCAAAAUAUAUGUUAAGUGGAAAAGGAUGUGGCGUUGCCCAGACAACUAGGAUGUUGGCUUAGAAGCAGCCAUCAUUUAAAGAGUGCGUAAUAGCUCACUAGUCGAGUGACACUGCGCCGAAAAUGUACCGGGGCUAAACAUAUUACCGAAGCUGUGGAUUGUCCUUUGGACAAUGGUAGGAGAGCGUUCUAAGGGCGUUGAAGCAUGAUCGUAAGGACAUGUGGAGCGCUUAGAAGUGAGAAUGCCGGUGUGAGUAGCGAAAGACGGGUGAGAAUCCCGUCCACCGAUUGACUAAGGUUUCCAGAGGAAGGCUCGUCCGCUCUGGGUUAGUCGGGUCCUAAGCUGAGGCCGACAGGCGUAGGCGAUGGAUAACAGGUUGAUAUUCCUGUACCACCUAUAAUCGUUUUAAUCGAUGGGGGGACGCAGUAGGAUAGGCGAAGCGUGCGAUUGGAUUGCACGUCUAAGCAGUAAGGCUGAGUAUUAGGCAAAUCCGG